UGGUUAUUAAUUAUUCCGUAGUAUUUCGAAGAUAAGUACAGACGUCUCCAUACCAAUCCGUAAGACUCUACUAAACUUGUUUGUGACUCGUAGAACCUAUGAACCUAGAGCUCUGAUACCAAUUUGUCCUGACCCCAAUUUCCCACCUUAGGAUGUCGUGAUGGCACCUAGUCUCUAAGACUAGGUAAGCCUAACACAUGUUUAUUUAAUAACAUAAUUGAACUAUUUAAUCAUUUAUCAUAAACCAUUAAAUGACAUACAUAGCCGCAAGCGGCCAAUAGUUAUACAUUUGCCAAAACUGUUAGUACGGAGUCAUAAUCACUACUAAAACACACUAAAAUUUCUAAACACAAUACUGUUUUGAAUUACAAUUUAGCAUUAGCAUAAUGAAAUAAGAUGAUGACUCCGAGUCAUGCGAACGUCAAGCAGGUAUACCUAGAAGUCUCCCGCCACACAGAUGCAACUCUCGACUUCACAAUCAGAAUAUGUGAAUCUGCACAAAAAUGUGUAGAAGCGUGAGUAUAUCACAACGGUACCCAAUAAGUGAGGCCAGGUCAAGACACCUACUAGACAUAGAAAUAUGUUCAAGAUAUACAUAAGCUAACAAUGGAAAGAACAUCAUUGUAAGACCAACGAAGGAAAAAUUAUUGAUUUACCACCAACAAUGAAGUAAUAGAAACAUAAAUGGCAGCAAGUAGUAAACGAGUAAUAAAGAAAUAAGGCUAAAUACAUAGACAUACCUUUAAACUUGUCAAAAUAUUUCAUUUAAACACUUCAACUAAGGAUGUGACCUAUUGAACACUUAAUGUACUUAUAAAGUGUCUAUUGAACCCUCCAAAACCAUUCAGCCAAAAACACAAACGCGUGUAAUACACAUGCUGAUGACAUGGCAAUAAACAAAUAAAACUUUAACACGUCUCAUAAAGAAAAAUAUAUUUAAAAAAGAAAAUCAAGUUUCUUAUCUUCACUGUAGCCAUGUAUCCCUACAUCUUCAUCCACAAUUUUCUGAAAAUCCCAUAAGCUCACUCCAAUGGAAAGCCAGCAAGGACAUGAAAAUUCAUCCACCAAUGCUCCCUUGAUAUCCCAACCCCAGUUUUUAAUUCGAGAAGUUUCUUUCUGAGAGCACAAAGAGGAACCUGAACGCUUCAGAAAUAGCCCAUCUCUGGAAUCUUCGUUUCUUUCUAAAGCUAAUUUUUUUACUCCCGAUAAAAAAAAAAUCUUUCUUCUCGCCAUAAAUAUCAUAUCUCUUUUUUCUCCUCAAUUUUUCCGUUGCCUAUAAUUAAUUUUCUGACACAAUUUUUGUCGAACUUUCCCUUAUUUGAAAUCUCUGUUACCUUAUGCCUCAAACUCAGCGUCCUUUUUCGACAUUGAGAUACUGCCGGAAAUAAUGAACUUCUCGCUGUUGAUUGUGGACUACCCAAUAAGAUUCCGUCGGAGAUUAUUAAAGCUUCGGAAUUUGUAUAUCCUUUCCUGCAACUGAAUUCUCUUUCUGCCUCUAUUACGCCGGAGCUGGGUAAUACAAAAAGCUCUAAGUCUUUGGCUUUAAUGGAAAAUACGUUUUCCGAUGAACUAUCGAUCGGCAGUAUUUGCAGAGCUUAAGAAUAUCACUAUUUUGAAGAAGGUUUGCGGAAUUUCCUUUUUGAUGGGUUUCGUGAGAAAUAACAUAUAUGUCUGGUAUGUUUUAAGUUGUACAUGAUUUUAUCAUUAAUUUCUGUAAUGUGCGUGUAAAUUAAUGGUUAAGAAGAUGAACACUAUGAAAAAGAAAGAAGACGAAAGCCAUGUUGAAAAAAGUAAAUCAAUUCACGCGCUGAAGUUUGGGUGAGAUUCACAUAUCAUGCCAUGUAAGCAUAUUGUGUUAAAUAGGCACACAUCGUACAUAGUUUAGGUGUCUAAUUGGUCACAUUCUUAGUUAAAGUGUGUAAGUGAAAUAUUUUUACAAGUUUAAGGGGAAGUGUAUGUAUUUGGCCUCGGUAGAGUAGUGACGAGGUCAGGUCAAGACACCUACUAGACAUAAAAACCUGUUCAAGAUAUACAUAAGCUAACAAUGGAAAAAAAAUCAUUGUAAGACCAACGAAGGAAAAAUUAUUGAUUUACAACCAACAAUGAAGUAAUAGAAACAUAAAUGGCAGCAAGUAGUAAACGAGUAAUAAAGAAACAACAUAAUCAGAACACUGAUGAGAUGUAAAUGAAUUCAAAUAAGGAAAAAAUGGAUGAAACUCAAAUAAUCAAAUCACUCCUAACGCAUGGACUUACAACAAGAAUUAUCUCGAGGCACCACACCUCAUAAACUACAAGUCAUGAUACACAAUUUUUAAAUCUUAUACAUAUAGCACCUCGUACCCACAAGAACAAUCACUUCCACAUGAAAAAGUCCACGUGCUACCAUGUACUUUGCAACAGUGAUAAAUAUUAAUUUAGAUGAACGAAAGAUAUAUUUAAACACUAUAAAACAUAAUAAAAUUCUUGAAUAAAGUAAGGUGUCUAAUGAAAUAAUGAUUUUAUUUUAGAAAUCAAAUAAAGUAAAAUAAUAUAAAAUUUGUACGAAACAGAGUAUAAGAUGAGUUUAGUUUAGAAAUCUAUAAAAUUGAGUAAAAGUAUCAUUUUUAAACAAAGCAAAAUAUAAGUUAAAUUAACGAAUUAAAUAUAGAAUAUUUUGCGAAAAUCAUGAUAACAAUUAUAAGUAAGGCAAACAUCUAACAGGGUGAUGUGUAUAAUUUGAGAACCCUAUUAUAGUGAAAGUGCGAUAAUCAUUUAGAAUAAGGUAUCUAGUGAGAUAACGAGUUCUAUUUGAAAAGGCACAUAGAAUAAAACAUGUUAAUAAUUCUUAUAUUUAAACCAUUAUGUUACCAACAACUCAACAUUAUAUGAUAUAGUGACUCCACGUAAUUAAAUUCACAUUGACAAUCAAUUUACCAAGUUAUAACGGAGGCACAAAUUGGCAUGUUAAAGCAACACAACAAAUCACGUAGAAUGCAUGACUCACACAAGAAGCCACAAUCGUUCCAACACCAAGAUAACAACGAAUAACCAAAUACAAUCAAAAUGCGGAUGAAUGAUUGAAGGAAAAACAAUGACCGUUCAAAUCAACUGUUGUUCCAACAAGGAAUGUACAUUGAAAAUCACAAUUGAGGGACCGUCUCGUAUUCACAUUUCACAAUUUCAAUCACAAUCUUUCCUUAUACAGUCGCAUGAGCCUUACAUUUGAAAUAAGUUGCGAAAAUAGUUUUUCUAGAAAUACUACAUGCACUUUAGCCUACCUUAUGAUGCCGCGUGGCUUCACGUAGUUCUCCUACAAGCAACACGCACAUAAGUCCCACCUUAUACCGCCGCAUUCACAUUAACCCCAAGCCUUAUACCGCCGCAUGCGCGUCAAUAUCUCAUCACAAUAACAACUUGCACCACAAGUGCCCAAAUAUCACAAUUUGCCAACAAUCAACAAUAUCAAUAUUUUCACAAUAAUAGCCUAUGGCUCCACCAUAACGGGUAAAAGAAUAUCAACAACAACAAAAAAUAUAAAAUACCUAACAAGAAAGAUGUUUCAACAAUAAUAAUUUUGCCUCAACAUGAUAACAACCUUUAUAACCUCAACAUCAACAAGUCAACAAUGAGAUAAUGUAUGACCACGAUAUUAAAUAAGAAUGACUUAUAAUGGAAGAGAUAACGUAUAAUAAUGACUUCAAAUAGUGGAAAUCAACAGGGAAAGAGAUAACAUGAACAAUAACUUCAAGUAAUGAUAAUCAAAAAUGAAGGGGAUAACUCGAACAAUAACUUCAAAUAAGGAUAAUUAUCAAUGAAGAGAUAGCAUGUAACAAUAAAAGAGGCAUCAAGUUCAACUAAGGCAUGAGAGUAAUUUAUCAAAUAGGAUAUAGACCAAGUGUUAAUGAAAUCAUUUAAAGCAUCUAAGGAUAGACUAACACAAGUAAGAACAGAUUGACUAUGAGAAUUUAAAACAUGAUUUGGCAUAUCAAUUAAAGCAUGGAAAUAGUCUAAGUAGCCUAAACCGGUCAAAUACCACGUACAACUCGUGUACCCACUCGUCACCUUGCGUAUAUGGCUUUCACAUAGCACAAAUGAAUUAAUCAAUACAAACUCCUAAGGGGUAGUUUCUCCAACACAAAGUUAGGCAAGAUACUUACCUCAACUAGGCUAAUUCAACACUUAGAAAUAGUGUUUCCCUUAAAAUUUGCCUCCAGACGGCUCAAACUUAACCAAAAUUGACUUAAUAACGUCAAACAAUGCAAGAGAAACCAAUUACAAUAAAUAAAGUUAUGAUCUUUAUAUUUUCUCCAAAAAGCCAACAAAAGUUAAUGUUGGGCCCACCUUGGAUUCUGAAUCCAAGCUUACCCGAGCGAUGACCGAACAAUACAAACUCACAUGAACGAAAACCAACUCAAUCGAAAUCCGAGAACUUAACCUAUUCGCCAAAACAUUGCUCCUGGGUGUUCCUAACCCAAGUGUCCAACCCACACUAGUUGGUCCCAUAUCUCCUGAAAUACUCCUCCAAAUCUCACCAAAUUCGAGUGUAUUGUUCUCCUAAUAUAGAAAAAAUAAUCCCAAAAAGAAUCGGGAAAUAAACGCCUCUAACUCAUUUUCAAUUUUUGAAAUUUAGGCAUAACCCUAGGUCUUGAUUUAAAGAAUUAAAUUAGUUUUCAAUUAAAAUCAUGGAUUAAAGCUUAAACCAAUGGAAUGAAUCAAAGGGAAAUACUUAGGUUAUGGUUUAGACCUUACCCCAUGGAAGAAACUUGAAUAACAUCCUUGAAUUCUCCAAAUCCCAAACUUUCAAGAUGAGAAAAACUCCAACAACAUUAAUAGCCAAAAAUGCUCAAUUGUUCUGCCUUGUUUCUUGUGCCAAACGAUCCCGAAACUCGGUUUUGAUGCCUCCAAUAGAUUUCUCGUGAAAUUCCAGUCAUGUUAGGCUUUUGAAUUACUCAUAAAGAAGGAGAUAUGUUGGUUUCAAUAUUUGAAAAUAGUGCAGAUUUUUAAAUACGAAUUCAGUGUCAAUUUCUUAAUUAAUCUAAAAAAUCUGGAAAAUCUGGCAACCCAAUUCUUAGUAAAAUGAUCAUAAAUUCCUCAUACGAUGUCGAAACUUGAUAAUUUUAGUUGAUAUGGUUCCAAAAUUACAAUACAGAUAUAAUGGUUUAGUUGAAACACGAAUCAAAGGUAGUUAGCUUAAUAUGGUAACCUUUAUGCUCAAAUUGACGUCAAAACCGAAAACAAUCACCAUACAACCCAAACUAACUCAAAACUCAUCGGAAUUUAACCAAACAUUGUGGACAUGUCCAAAAUCAUCAUACAAACUUACUAGAAUAAUUAAAACCCAAUUACGAGUUUGUUUACCAAAAGUCAAACCUUGUCAACUCUUCCAACUUAAAUUUUUCAAAACGAAAAUCAUUCUUCCAAAUAAAUCCCGAACUGCUCGAAAACCGAAACCAACCAUACACGCAAGUCAUAAUACAUAAUAUGAAGCUACUCAAAGUGUCAAACCACAGAAUGGAAUGCUAAAGCUCAAAACGACCGGUCAGGUCGUUAUAGUUUAUUGUGCUCAUGUAGUCAAUUAAUGGAACAAUACAUAGAAUUAAGCAGAACACACAAUCAAAUAAAUCAUAGAGUGAGCUAGGAUCUACCUCGGGCAUGAAUACCCAUGGCACAUGUAUAUACGUUUGUCACCUCAUAUAUACAUCACCCCUACAUGUAGCAAUCAAUAACAAUUAGCAGGAAAUACUCCAUAGGAAUCUAGUCAAAAACAACUCAAUAACAUCAAAUAAUGCAAUAGGAAUCAAACCCAAAUAAUAAAGGUCGAAUCUUUAAUCGAAUACCCAAAGUCAACCAAAAAGUAAAUCCGGGCCCGCACCCUAGAACCCAACAAAACUCACAAAUCACUAACACUCAUUCAAAUACGAGUCUAAAUAUAUAAGUUUUAUCUAAAAUCAACUCCUAAUCGGGGUUUGAAUCUCCAUUUUUUACUUUAGAAACGUUUUGCCAAAACCUCCAAUUUUUCUCUCUUAGAUUCACCAAUCAAAUGCUAAAAUCAAGGAUGGAAUUAUGAUAGAUAAUCAAAUUCGAGUCAAGAACACUUAACCCAAUCCAAGUGGUAAAAAUCGCCUAAAAAUUGCCUCAAUCGAGCUCCCAAUCUAAAGAUAUGAUAAAAUGAGCUCAAAGUCCAAAAUAAGAACUUAAAUGCACUACCUAAGAGUAUCCUUCGUGAUCACGACAGGGCACUCCCCGAGUGCGACAAGGCACUCCGCGAGCACGAUAGGGCACUCCGCGAGUGCGAAGCACAAUUCGCGACCUGACAAACAUCCCUACUUCGCAAACCGAUUCAAACGUCGCGAACGCGAAGACUUAGGUUCCAAUAGCUACGCGAACGCGACCAACAAGCACCCAAGCUCCACUCCUUCUGCGCCAACGCGUCAUUGUCCACACGAAUGCGAUGCUUCCCAUGUCGAAAACCUCGCAAACGUGGUCCAUGUGACACGAACAUGUUGAUCAACUUCUUAGUAAUCAGACUACUCUAUGCAAUCGUGACAUGUAGUCUGCGAUCGCAAAACUCAUCAGAACACCAGCAAAUCAGCAGCACAAAACCAUCCAAAAUGAUUUGAAACCGCCCUGAAUAACACCUGAGGCCCCCGGGAUCGCAUCCAAACAUACCAACAAGUCCAAAUACAUUAUCCAAAUGCAUCCAAAAGCUCGAAACAUCGUAAUUAACAUCAAAACCAAGAAUCUAAGACCAAGAUCAUUCUCUUAACUUUCAAACCUUCAAACUUCGUCGAACACGUCCGAAUCCAUCCAAAUUAACUUGGAAUUAGACCAACCUUUGCACACAAAUUCCAAAUGAUAAAAAGAAACUAUUCCAACUUCUAAAACAAGAAUCUGAACCCUAUAUCAUCAAAGUCAAUUCCCAGUCAAACCUAUGAACUUCUAAACCUUCAAAUUGCCAACUUUCGACAAAUAAAGCCAAAUUCUUAUAGGAACAUCCAAAUUCAAAUCCGAACAUAUGCCUAGUUCCAAAAUUACCAUACGAACCUAUUAGAACCAUCAAAUUAUGAAUCCGAGACCGUUUGCACAAAAGUCAAAUAUUGGUCAACUCUUUAACUUAAAGCCUCCAAAAAUGAAAAUUUCUCUUCCAAAUAAAUUUUGAACCUCUCGAACAUCAAAACUAACCAUACACGCAAGUCGUAAUAUCUCGUAUGAAGCUACUCAAGACCUCAAACCUCCGAAUAGAAUACCAAUGCUCAAAAUGACUGGUCGGGUCAUUACAUUCUCCUACACUUAAAUAUACUUUCAUCAUAGAACGUGACAAAAGUCAUUCCAAAGCCAUCCAAUCACUGUAUAAACUCACCAUACACAUACCCAUGGGCAAUCCCAUGUCACCAAAAUCUAUAAAAGCCCGUCAACACAACCCAACUGAAGAAUCUAUCUUCAACCUUAAUGCAUCAACCAUAGAACCGAAUUCCAACAUUCGAGAUUUCUAAUACGAUCUGAUUAUCGCAUAUACAUAUUAUAUCAGUCUCAAAAAGUCAUAGCAAAUCAUAAAUAUAUUCGCAAGAUAUAACCACACGAUGUAACCCAUCGUUCAUAUUUUUGUAGCAAUAUCUAUGACGAUAAUAGCUGCCCAUUAUCAAACCCGGUAUCAGCGACAUACCUCAUAUCAAAUAAAACCUUAUUCUAAAACUUUGAACACUGCCAAUGAUGAACGAAACAUGUAAAAACUCAUACCCACUCAUCAGUUCAACAAGUCAUGGGCUCACUCGCACCAUAAGAGCCAUUGUCAAAUUCUAAGUUGACUAAUGGCGUUAUCCUUCCAACAUACCUUAACCAAAUACGAUAGCACUAAUUCUAGGUCUAAUGACCUCACCUUUCCCGAUACACGCCGCUCGACUAAAAUGCCAUGUCAAAUGCGACCUAGAGCCACAUAUGACGCAAUAUGCACCCAACAUGUGAUACAAUGUUGCUUGACUGACAUGCCAUUGUGGUUGAUUUCCAUGUUCAAGAGGUUUGGGAUUUAUUUGAAAGAGAAAUUUUCAUUUUUGGAAGCUUUAAAUUGGAAGAAUUGACCAAGGUUUGACUUUUGGGUAAACGCACUUGGAAUCGGGUUUUUGAAGGUCCAAUAGGUGUGUAUUAUGAUUUUGAACUUGGGCGCAUGAUUAUAUUAUAUUUUGAAGGUCUCUAGAAGGAUUCGACACCAUUUGUCGAAAAUUGCCAAUUUGAAGAACAUAAAAGUUCAUAAGUUUGACCAAGAGUUGACUUUGAUUUUAUUAGACUUCAAUUGGUGUUCCGAGACUUUGGAUAGGUCUUUAUAGUUGAAUUUAACUUGUGUGCAAUGUUUGGAAGUAAUCUGAAGUUUCUAAGUUGAUUCGAAUAUUGUUUUGAAAGAAUGAACAUUUAAGAACUUAAGAUAAAUUUUAUUCACUUUGAGACUCGAUUCCUUGUUGUGAAGUUCCAAUGGGUGGUUUGAGCCUUUGGACAAGUUCAUAUAGGGUAUUUGGACUUGUAAUAAUGGCUAGAUGGGGUCCCAAGGGGCUUGAGUGAGAUUCGACGCAUUUGGAGCAAGUUCCGGAAGAAUUGAGUUGCUGAAACUGGACUUUUCUACCGAUGAUCUGAGUUCAAAAGAGCAUUUCUCCCAAUCUAUAUGUUACGCCCCGAAAUAGGAGAGUAGGACCGAUGCUCAACCGAGUUACCUCAGUUAAGCAAGCCUACUUAGUGCCUACCAUUCAACCUUGCCCAUAUAUAACUCAUGAAUAAAUACGAAGAGAAAGUCAAACCAUAGGGUAAAAUAUACACUGCCAAUUUCAUAAAUUAGGAAAUUUCAUUAAUAGAAGGAAAAUUAAUACAAGUUCUUAGUUUGUAAGUGAGAUAAACUGGCAACGCUUAUAGUUUUCCCCCAUUCAAAACACGACCCACAGUAUGUCUACAGAGCCUCUAAAUAAACAAACCAACUUUGGUCGGUAUUUCAUUGAAAAUAAAUUAAAAUUAAUAUUUAAAAAACCGACCAAAAUCGGUCGGUUAAUUUGGCCGGUCAUUUUAAAAAACUGACCGAAUUCGGUCGGUAAUUUUAUUUUUAAUAAAAGCGACCAACUUUGGUCGGUUAUUUUCGUGCGAAAAUAUAAUUAAAGAGUAUAAAUAAAAUAAAAGACAGUCUUAAAAUAAAAUGCACCAAUAGUCUAGUGGUAGAAUAGUAUCCUGCCACAGUACAGACCCCAGUUCGAUUCUCAGAUAGUGCAUUUUUAAAUUACAUAAUUAAAAUACCGACCAACUUUGGUCGGAAAAAACGGACCGACGUUGGUCGGUUGUUUCGGCAACUUUUUUUUUAAAUUUAAUUGACCGACCAAAGUUGGUCGGUAAUUUCUGACCAACUUUGGUCGGUAUGCCCUUCCGACCUUCAAAAUACCGUCCACACGUAAAUGGUCGCAUUUUGGACGGUAAUUGGCCAUUACCGACCCACUUUGGUCAGUUUUUUUUUGACGGGUUUGCCCGGAUUUUUAGUAGUGACAUAAUUCAAGAUCAUAAGCCUUUAAAACAUCAAUCAUACUUGGUACACUUUCCCAAUGGAGAUAAGUAUAAUAGGGGCAAUUGGAACAUGACUUGAGUACAUAAGUAUUUGGGUAAUUCAAUCAUUAGAAGCAAUUCGAAAUUUUAGAUGUAGGAACUUGAACAAACCACACUUGGAGUUUAUAAGGAACUCGUGGAAUCCGAUUCUAGGGAAGGAUUUUAGCCAACAUACUGUCACGCCCUAAACUCGGGGAGCGCGACCAGCGCUCAACCGAGUGAACCCGGUCAAGCAAGCCGGUUAGAUACUUUCUACCCAAACUCACUUAUGAAUAAAGAUAAUACAUAUUUUCGUUAAUUAGACCAUAAAAAGAUCAUGUGUAAAAUACCAAUCCAUUACCAUUAGUCACGUCAUUAACAAGUCUUCAAAACAGUACAUUGUACAAUCAUAGCUAGAGUGGAACAGGUGAUACGAUUACAAAUUUUUUAGUUUAACAUUCCCAAAAAUAGAUACAACCCACACUAUGUCUACAGAGCCUCUAACAGGAACAAAAGAGUUCCAUAACAGUGCCGGUAACAUGUCCCCGGCUAAACCUCAAAACGCUAUGUACAAAUGAUAAAAGACAUAGGACCCCGAGAUGAAGUGGGGUUCACCAAAUCAGCAGAGGAGAGGGUAUGCUGCUAUCACUGGUCAAUGACACCUGCUAUGGAACCACCUGCAUCCAUUAAAGAUGCAGCACCCCCGGCAAAAGGGACGUUAGUACAUAUGGAAUAGUACUAGUAUGUAAAACUAAACACCCUCUCAAUAGAACGAGCAACAGUAAACGGAGAAUAAAACAUGAAAUCAAUAAGAGACUCAAACAGUAUCAAGAUGUCAAGUCAAGGGAAAGGUAAAUUUCAAAUAGGAUUUGGUAAGAUAAGUUGGGAGAUCUUUUGCAUCGAUACACCACCGUGUUUUAACACGGAGUCUGAUCUCAGCCCGACCGGCUAAGCCGUCUCAUCCCGAUACGUACACUCACAAUACCACCAUGUGCGCGACAUGGCGUCCAAUCUCAGCCCGAUCGGCUAAGCUGUCUCGCCACAAUGCCAUGUGGGUUGACAUCACAUCAUAUCUCCCUAGCAAUAAUCGCAUCCCAUUUAAGGGGAAACAGUCUCAUCACAUUAACACGGGGAUUUUUCCCACAGUCACUCCUACAUCGGCACGUGUAGUUUUAGGGUUUGGUUGUUCUGACCUACCCUUCCUCGGUGGCUAAAUGAUAUUCCCAAGGCAUUUAUUAUUAAAAGUAGUUACCACUCAGUUCAUAUUCUUUUACAUGUCAUUCAUUUAAUUGGAAUCAUUGGCCAUAAUACAGUAUCAUUCUUGGCACGUUGGCCGUAUUUCAUAAUUCAUGCUCACUAUUUCACUUUCAAUCAUUUUCAUGGAUACUCAAUAACAAGGCCUUUUAAAUUAAGACUUUACACACAUACUUGAGCAAUUUUAGGGUCUUAGGCACCUGUGACUUCUUACACAAUUGACAUGAUAGCUUUCAUAAAAAAUCACGCUUUUAAAUCAUUAUAUAGUAACACACAACCCAUACUUAAACCACGUUCUCAAACAUUAACUCAACGUAACAAGAAUCGUUGGAAUACAUAUUGAACGCAUAAUUAUUUUGAUACAAGGCUUAUUUGACAAAAAUUCAAUUUAUAAAGAGCUUCACGAGACUUACAAGGACAUCGCAGGGUCCAAUUCUAAGAGAAAAGUUUAGCCUGUACCUUUCCUCGAGCUUUUUAAUUUACUACAAUAUUUCGAAAAUCCUAGCCACUUCGAUCUAUUUAGAGAUAUAGCAAAAUUGAACACAAAUUAGGAAGGAGUGCAUAGUUCAAUCUCACUUGAGCAUUUUAUCAAACACUAGGUGUGCAUUAAGGUUUCAAGGUCCUCCUAUGGUGGAUUCUUUCAUCCCACUACCCAAAGUUCACCCAAAAGGGCUCAACAAUCUCCCCACUACCCCAGAUGGUAUAUGCGUAUAAAAUAAACAACUCCCACAUCCAAUAAUUGCUUUACUAAUUACCCAUUUUUAGUUAAAUUCCGAAAUUAAGGGUUAAGGUGUAGAAUCUUACCUUUUGGUUGAAGACCUUGUGAGUUCCCCUAGAGAAAUCUUCAAGGUUUGAGCAUAUAUUGAUACAAAUGACUUAGAACUCCUCUUCUCACUCUAGACCACCUUUCUCUCUCUCUAAAAUGUAAGUUUGGACCUUCUAAAAUGACCCUUAACAUUGUUUUAUAAGAAUAGGGUCGGGUUUAUAGAACCAGAAAAAUGAAUCUCCGAAACACAAUCUGCGGUCGCAGAGUGAGCGCAGAAUGGAUAUGCGGUCUGCAAAUCGGCCGCACAAUUGGCCCUCCGGUACUGGGCAAGGCUACCCCACUCUGCGACCAGUAUGCGGUCCACAGACCUGUUCUGCGGUCGCAUAAUGCACCGUAAAACUUCCCUUCAGAAAUUUUCAUGCUGGUUCCAUGGUCGAUGUGCGGCUCGCAAAAUGGUUUUGCGAUCGCAUAGUGGACCGCACAAUAUCAUCCAAAAUUACCCAGCUUUCUGCUUCACUCUACAGCCCGCAGAGUGAUUCUGCGGCUGUAUAGUGGGCCGCAGAAAUGUCUUUUUCUGCCAAAAAAUUUCCUUUACUCCUCAGCGCACUGUUCAACCCAAAUAUUUUCCUUUACAUUCGUUAACUCAUAACCUUACUUCGGCACCACAAAACCCCACGUUUUUAAGCAAAAUUUUACGGGGCCUUACACAUACCUUGAUUAAGCUUUUCUUAGAGUUCCUAUGGAGUUCCUCUACUCAAAACACCUCAAUAUAUAGCAACAUAAUCAAAUAGAACCAUUAUUAGAAGGACUCUCGCGAUAAAGGUCUAUUAGGCAUUUCAUACGACUUUUGAUCACCAUCCCAUAAGCCUCAAAGUAAUAAAAUCUUUAUUUAAAUCCUUUACAAACUUUGGAUGAUUGCUAGGGAUAAAGUCUUACCUUGCAUGUAGAAGAUCUUGUGUGCUUCCUUCCUUGAAUUCCUAAUAUUAGAGCAAGAAAUUGGAAUGUGGAAUUGUUAGAGCUCCUCCCCCUCUCUCUAGAGUGAUCUCUCUCUCUCUCUCUAAAAUAGUUUGAUUCCCCCUCACAAAUGACCCCUUAAGCAUUUUAAUUAAAAUUGAGUCAGGUAAGGAAAUUCCCAAAAAUAACCCUCCAAUGUCAAUCUGCGAUUGCGGAAUGCACCCCAGAAAGGAUAUGCGGUCUGCAAAAUGGAUCAUGAAAUGAUCUUUAAAUUCUGGGUUGGGCCUAGUCAGGUACGUGGCAGAUAUGUGGUCCGCAAAAUGGUUCUGCGAACGCACAUCAGACCACAGAAUCUUCUUCCAAAAUUCCCAUGAUGGUUAUGCGAUGAGUAUGCAGUCCGCGAAGUGAAUCUGCGGUCACACAUUGGACCGUGAUGCAGUACAAGUCCAAAAAUCCAGCGAGCCGCGAAAAUUUAACUACAACCUUCAAAAAGCAUUACUUACCCUGGCACCAUAAAAACAUAAAUCCUUAGAGAACUUUUAUCGGGCCUCACACUAUAAAGGACGGGUGUUUGAUGAGAUUGUAGCACUUUGAGUCUAGUUUCUACUGGUUCAAACUGUUCGUCAUUACGACUUUUGUACAUGAAGCUAUGGCCAUUUCGCUAGAAGGGGGUCAGUGUAGACUUUUGGGUCUGUUAUGUUAUGAGACAGUUAUGCGAUCCGUGAAUCAGAUGUGCAGACUGCAAAGCAAAUGUGCGGUCACAUGGGAAAUCUUUUGUUAGCUACUUUGAGAAGCUAUUUAAGGCCGAAAUUUGUGAUUUUAAUUUCAUUUCUCAACUUUUCGAGCUUAUUUUGAGAGGAUUGAGGCUUGGGUUUCAAAUACAAGCUUGGGUUAAGUGGUUCUAACAUAAAUCUAUAGUUUAUACAUGAAUUUAUCACUAGAUUUAACAUCAAAACAUGGAUUUGAAGAAGAGAAAUUUGUGGUUUUUGUCUACAACUUAAGGGAGUGUAUUUUGGGGUUUUGAGCACCGAUUUGGACUCGGAUUUGAAAACUAAUUAUAUAUUUAGAAUCGUGGGUUUAUGGGUCAUGGGGAUUUGGCCUCGGACUAAGGUUUUGACCAUGUGGGCUUGGGUUGACUUUUGUUGACUUUUGGGUAUUUGAUUAAAGAUUGAAGCUUUAUUAUUUGGAAUUGAUUCAUAUCAUUUUGUUUGAUGUUAUUGAGUUAUUUUUGACUAGGUUUGAGUCAUUUGUUUUUAAUUUGAAAGGAAAAACACUAUUUAUUGUUGAAUAAAGCUUGUCGGGUUGAGGUAAGUCACCUAUCUAUCCUUGUAAGAGGGAAUUCUCCCCAUAGGUGAUCUAUUCUCUACUUGUUUCUUGAUUUAGGAGCCAUGUAUAUGCGAGGUGAUAAGCAUAUACACAUAGCUAGAUUAUGACCAUGUAUGGUAAAUGUUUGGUUUGAGGUAUUUUUGGAUGUAUGAAGGAGAAUAGAGUGGCAUACAGAUCUUAAGAUUAUGCUGCUUUGUGUUUGGAUCAUUUGGUAUGAGUUUUGCUUAAGGACCACCAUGUAUUGGAAAGAAAAGUGAUGCCUUGAAGGUAGGUCAAGAGUAGUCUGGAGAAGUUGGGUCAGAAUAGCAGUGGCUCGGAUCCGUAUAGUAAUAGAAAUAUCUGGUUUCUAUGGUAUAAUAGGGCAUUACAAGUACUUUUGUUGUAUGGCUAUUGGGUUUGGCAGUCUGCAUGGCUUGAUUGAUUUGGAGAGAUUCAGUUCCAAUGGCGUGAUUAUGUGUAAGUGGGUUUCUAAGAAAUUGAGGACUAUCCUACUUAUGACUUGUAUCUGAUCGGGGGAUUCCUGUACUUAGAUAUAGCAUCAUGACUGAUGUGGUGAGUCGUGUGAGGUUUGGAUUUAUUUGAGAGGUCGCAAUUUGUCUUCCGGCAGAAGGAUUGAGAUCAGAGAUAGCACAGAUGAUUUAAGUGGAUUAAGGAGCAUAAUAUUAUCAAUUUCAGUAUCACCAAGAAGGGAAUGUGUUGUAGAUGGUGGUUACAGAUAGGGUCUAUGGGUAAUUCGACUAAGCGCUACCGCAAUCGUGUGAUGGUCAGUCAUUGAGUUUCAAAUUUUGGAUGUCUUACAUGGAAGGAUCUAUGGAUAUGCACGUUUUUGAGAUGCUUGCAGGUGCGGCUUCAUAGUUGUGUUUGAGUAGGCAUGUGGAAAUUACAAGGAUCAGGAAUCUUGCACUUUUGGGGUACAACGAUUGGAUUUUUAGAGUUGUGACUAUCUCUUUGUUUGUGGCAAGUGGAGGUGUGUCAUAGUAAGAUAGCUGGUCGUAUGUAUGCAUAGUGAUGGGAGAUUUAGAGGGUUCAUGCUUGAUAAAACUCGUGGUCUUUGGUAUUUGAUAUGUCGUAAUUUUCCUAGGUAUAAUGUAUAUCUUUAUGGGAUUUUUGGUUUGAGGAGUGUAGUUCACAAGGUUGUUGGCAUUAUUACUUUAUGUUGAAAUGAUGAACAAGUUAAGUAAGGAAUUUAUAAACUCAAGGACUUGUAUAUUCAAUGCAUUGGGUUCCACGAGGUUGUAGUAGAUCACGAGUGGUGAAGUUGGUAAUUGGGUUAAUAAUGGGUUGUAGGUAUAUAUUCGCAGUUGAGGCAUGUGACUUAGAGGUUUCAUGUGUAUCCAUGAGUGGAGGUUGGCAUGGGUCCUUAUUUAACUUAUGGAAGACUUAUUACCACUUCAUAAGAAGGUGGGAUCUGUUUAGGUGUCUACUCAUAGAGCAAUUGAUGAUGUGCAUUCCACGAUGGGUCAGAUUUGCUUGUACAACACAAGGUGUCAUAUGGUUGUCACAUCCGGAAAGGGUACAGUUAUAUGGGAUACUUUAUACCAUUGAAAUUAAAAGGGUAAUAGCUCAUUAUGUGAUUAUGGCAGUUAAGGCAGUAGGAUUCGGGUACACGAGUUGAGUUUUGUUGCGUUUGCUUAACUGUUGCAUAAAGGACAGGUGGAAUAAAUUGUAUAACUACUCAUAGACUUGUUGUAAUAAUACACCAUGGACUCAGGGAGUUACUGGUUGAGGAGUUACUUUUUCAAAGAAUUUUCAUAGUUGGGUUAUUGCUUAGAUGGCACAAACCAUGUAGUUUAAGGUUUCAUAUAGAAUUUGGUGUGACUUUUAGAUUGAGCAGCUUGCACUGUAUGAGGAGAAGCUUGUGGACCUGAAAUAAGCGAAAUCGGUUUGAAUAAGGUAUAUUUCAAAGAGAAUGCCUUUAGGAAGCCUUGAUCAGGCAAUGGUUCUUACCGGAUGAGAGAAUUCUAUGAUUUGUUAAUGUGUUGAGUUGUUAUUUAGUUUGUACAAGAUUCUUGCAUCAUUAGCAGUGUUACGAAGGAUUGGAAGAAUAAUUUAUUUGAGAUAAGGUAUUCAAUUGAUAUCGGGUUUGGUAAUGAACAUUAUUGGGAUAAGAAGAUAUUGCUAUGGGUGUAUGGGAUACAUCAUGUUAUUACAUCUUGGAGGUAAAUUUAUAACUCAGUAUAGGUUAUUGGAAUUGAUACAGUGAAUAUAGACAAAAAUCGGAUCUUGGAGGAAAAUCCGGGUAUUAAAAUUGGGUUUAAAGGCUUAUAAACUAAGGCCGAGAGAGGAAUCUCAUCUAGGAUGUGUUCAUGGAUUUAUAUGUAUGGAGGUGACAUGGAAUCACCCUUGAGAAAGUGUAAGAUGAGUUUAUAUAGAUAUUCAAUAGCAUUGGAAUGACUCUUGGCACUUUUGAGGACGAACAUAUAUGUAAGUGGAAGACGAUAUAAUGACUCAAGCGGUCGUUUAAGCUCUAGCAUCUGGUUCCGUGAUUUGGGCCUUUCCUUAGGUUCAUUGGAUGUUUAUGACUUGAAAGUGGUUUGGAAUACUUAUUUCCUAAAUGGAAGCUCUAAGUUGGAAGAGUUAACCAAGGUUUGACUUUUGUGUAAAUGGACUAGGAAUCGGGGUUUGAAGGUCCAGAAGGUUCGUAUUAUGAAAUUGGACUUGGGCGUAUUUUCGUAUUUUAUUUUGAAGGUUCCUUGAAGGAUUCGGCACCAUUUGUCAAAAGUUGGCAAUUUAAAGAACAUAAGAGUUCAUAAGUUUGACCAAGAGUUGGCUUUGAUAUUAUUGGAAUUCAAUUGGUGUUUCGAGACAUUGGAUAGGUCUAUAUAGUUGAAUUGAAUUUGUGUGCAAAGUUUGGAAGUAUUCUGAGGUGUCUAAGUGUGAUUCGAACAUUUUUUUUAAAAUAAAGAAGAUUCAUGAAAUUAAGAGAAAUUCUAUUUCGUUUGAACCUUGAUUCCUUGUUGUGAAUUUUCCAUGGGUUGUUAGAGCCUAUGGAAAAGUUGAUAUGUGGUUUUUGGACUUGUAGGAAUGGCAGAAUGGGGUUCCAAGGGGCUCGGCUGAGUUUCAGCGCAUUUGGAGCAAGUUCUGGAAGAAUUGAGUUGCUGAAACUAGACUUUACUGUAGAUAAUCUGACUUCAAAAGAGCAUUUAUCCAAAUCUAUUAAGUAUUUUGGGAUGGGUUAUCGAUAUUAUAGCCAUUUGUGUCUAGUUUUGGUGAUUCAAACAGUUUAUCAUUCGACUUUUGUACAUGGAGUUAUGGCCAUUUUACCAGAAGGGGGUCAGUGCAGACUUUUGGGACUGUUCUGUUAUGCGAUGAUUAUGCGAUCCACGAAUCCGAUGUGCGUACCGCGAAGAAAAUAUGCGAUCACCUGGGUUAUUUUUUGUCAGCUACUUCGGGAAGCUAUUUAAGGCUGAGUUUUGUGAUUAUUAUUUCAUUUCUCAACUUUUGGAGUUAAUUUUGAGAGGUUUGAGGCUAGGAUUUCACCUGCAAGAGUGAGGUAAGUGAUUCUAAUCUAAAUAUAUAUUUUAUACAUGAAUUUACCACUUGAUUUAACAUCAAAACAUGGAUUUGAAGCAGAGAAACUUGGGGUUUGUAUACAACUUAAGAGAGUUUAUUUUAGAAUUUUGAACACUGAUUUGGACUCGGAUAUGAAAACUAAUUAUGUAUUUGGACAUGUAGGGUUAAGGGUCAUCGGGAUUUGGUCUUGGACUCGGAGUUUGACCAUGUAGGUGCGGGUUGAAUUUUGUUGACUUUUGGGGAUUUUAUUAAAGAUUGAAGCCUUAUUGUUUGGAAAUGAUUCUUAUGACUUUGUUUGACGUUAUUGAGUUGUAUUUGACUAGAUUCGAGUCAUUUGGUGUUGCAUUUGAAAGGAAAAACGCGGUUUAUUGUUGAAUAAAGCUUGUCGGGUGGAGGUAAGUUUCUUUUUUAUCCUUGUAAGAGGGAAUUCUCCGUAUAGGUGAUCUAUUUGCUACAUUUUUCUUGCUUUAGGAGCCAUGUAUAUGUGGGGUGACGAGCAUAUAUACGUAGCUAGAUUAUGACCAUGUCCGGUAAAUGUUUGUCUUAUGAUUAUGCCUUGUUUGGACUAUGUGCAGUCCUUAUUCAUGCUUCGUUGAUUCUAUGACUACAUGAUGGCUUGAAAUUAUGCCUUAGAAGCAUGCUUAAGGUUAUGACUUGUUAAAUUGGGAAUAAAUGAUUGCUUGCCAUACUGAGCUUCUUUGUCGAGCCGCAGUCAUUUACUCGUUUAUUGAUUCAUGAUUUGGUGGCUAAAUGGACUAUCUCAUUUAUGAUAAAUAUUAAUAUAGGACUUUUGAAUGAUGGAAUUGCUUAUUUAAUUAUUGAGAUAGAUUGAAUUACAGGAUUAGCCAUAGCCAUCUUUUUGCCUUAUGUUCUAUUAUCCACAUUUCUAUUAUUAUGACUCGAUGCCUUUUUAUUAUGUUGCCCCAUACAUAUAUCUAUGAGUUUCAGAGUUGAAUAUUCUGAAAAGAUGAGAAUUUUUGCACCAUAGACAUUAUGAGAAGAUAUUGGUUACUGAUGAUAUUGUAUGGAUCGGGUGGCACGCCGCAAUAUAUGAACGGGUGGCAGGCCACCACGGGUAUGUGUGUGGAUCGGGUGGCACGCCGCCACGAGUACAUACGAGGAUCAGGUGGCAUGCUGCCAUGGGAAUAGUUGUUGAUUGGGUUGCACACCGCAAGAUUAUUAUGUGUUGAUCGGGUGGUAUGCUGGCGUGGAGCUUAGAUUAGUAAUGUCCAUUCGGAUUCAGGUGAUUACCCAUGUUACCUUGGCCUUGUGAGUGCAGCCACUGUAUAUGUCCUUAGUGAGGGACUUACGUCAGGCACCCAUAUAGUGCUGACUGUGUGUGAUGAUUCAGGAGCAUUGUGCUAGGCACCAUGAGAGUGCUGAGAGUAUGAUUGAGGGGUACUUGUUCUAGGAAUUAUAAAUGUUCUGAGAUUAUGUAUACUUGAAGAUUUAACUAUGAUAUUGUUGAUUUGGACAUGUCACGCCCCGACAUUGGGGAGUGGGAUCGGUGCUCAACCGAUAUAUCCUAGUCAAGCAAGCCUACUUGAUGCCUACUACCCAACCUUGCCCAUGAAUGAAUCAAGAAUAAACUACAAGAGAUGGCCAAUCAAGGGGAUAAAAUGUACAACACCAAUUUUACAUUAAUUAAGGAAUUUCAUGUGGUAGAUGACAAAAUAAAUACAAAUUCAUAGAUUACAACUGGGGAUAAAUGACCAAAAUAGCAUUUUAAAGCUCCCUUCAUACCAACAUAACCCACAAUAUGUCUAUGGAGCCUCUAAGUAAACAUGAGAGUUGUAUGGAACUUGUCGGUGACAAGGCCCCGGUAUACCUCAAAAUGAUAAACAAAGUCAAUACAACAAAAGGCCCCAAUAUGGAGUUGGACUCACUGAGUCAGCUUAGAAGAGGGUACACCUAUCAUGAAGUUGUGCCACCUAUUGAGGACCACCUACAUCCAUUAAAGAAGCAGCACCCCAAAAGGGAUGUUAGUGCAUAUGGAAUAGUCCUAGUAUGUAAAGCUAAGUACCCUCACAUGGAAUGGAAUGCCAACUCAUGAAGAAAGAAACAUGAAAGCAGUAGGAAUAAUCAAUAAUAUUUAAAUGCUAAGUUAAAAUAAAAUACAUUUUUAAAUAAGCAUUAAUAAUUUUGGUUGGGAGAUCAUUAGUUACCGACACACCACCACGCACGUGGCAUGGAGUUUGAUCUCGGCACGAUUGGCUAGGCCAUCUCAUCCCAAUAUAUGUGGGUUGACAUAGAAAUGCAAAACCAUGAUGCGCUCAACAUGGCAUCCGAUCUCCGCGUUAUCUGCUUGGCUGUCUCACCAUAAUGUCAUGUGGGUCGACAUGCUCUUGGCUAUCAAUCAAUUCAUCCCAAUCAAGGGGAAAUAAUUUCAACAAAAUACAACGGGGAUAUGUCCGUCAAUCAUCUCCUACACCGGCAUGUGUAGUUUCGGGCUUGGGCCUUUAUAACCCACCAUUCCUCGAUGACCUAAAAUUACUCCCAAAGACAUUUCUAUAUAAAAUAAAUAUGUUAAUCUCAUAGCCAUUCAUAGAAUCUUUUCAUUUCAUUGGAACUCUUGUCCAUACAUGAUAAUUUUUAUUCUUGGCACAAUGGUAACACAUUAAUUUCUUUCAUGGGUUAUCAUCAACAUAUAGGGUACUUUAAAACAUAGGAGAAUCAUAUUGCCACAUAAUUUGUAAGUAAAUGCUUAAAAUGCUUGAAAGUUUUCAAGGGCAUAGCCAUUUCACUUGAAACAUGAGUAAAUUCAUAGAUAUUCGACAAGUCAACCACACUUGAAGUAUUCUUCAAGGAGAGCAUAGAAAUAGCAAUUGGGACAAACUUGAGUACAUAGGCAUUUGAGUAAACUAUUCAUUUAAGGAAAUUCAACAAUAGGAAUAAGAGCUUGGACAAACUAUGCUUGGAGUUUAUAAACGAUUCGUGGAAUCUGAUUCUACAGAAGGAGUUUAGCCAACAUACCUCAAAUUCGCCCCUUGAUAAUACUACUAUAGCAACCCCUUUGGAGGGUGCUAGUUACAAAACAAAUCUAAUUUACUACUUACAAUGUUCAGAAGAUAUUAAUCUAAAAAGAUAUUCAUAAUAAUUUAGUAGCGAAAAUAGGUCCAUGCGACAAAGUUCAAAGUGCAAUACUUUUUGUUUUUGAAAAUACACUUUGUAAAAUUUAUUAAAUGAAAUACAUGUCAAAGUAUAAAGGAUUGUGAUACAACCCAUCCUGAAUAUUCAACAUGUUAAAGCAACUUCCUAGCGAAAUUGCACUUUUCGUUCAAUAUCACUACAAGUUCAUCUUGUACAUGAAUUUCAAAUUAGCGAGUAUAAAAGGAAACCUAGUCUUCUCUAUUGUACAUACUUACAAGAAAAAGUGUAAAUUUAGCAUAUUACGAGACUUGGGUUAUUAAUGUCAAGACCCAAUUUCGACUGUAGGUCGUGAUGGCACCCAACGUUGCCGCUAGGCAAUCCAGCGGUGAGCCCAUUUAAUUUCUCAUCUUAAUAUUCUUGAAGUCUUUAAUUUUCAUUUAAUAAGAAAAUUGUAAUGUAAAUUAAACGGGAAAGUAUGAAAGAGAAUUAAAUAAUCAAAACCCAUGAGUGUCUACUAGAAUUUCUGAGAAUCAGGUGUCACAAGUGCACGAGUAUCUAGUAGAAUAUACAAAACUCUCUAAGAACUACUGUCUGAAACAAAAUAGACAGAAACGAUAAAGCAUAACAAGAGAAAGCUCUGGGUGCUGCAGAACGGAGCAUGAGAAGAAGCUCAUCGCUAAACCUCCGGUUAAAGCGGAUGCGCGCCCGGACGAACUCCAGAUGCACCUGCCUCAGAACCUGCACAAUAUGUGCAAAAGUGUAGCAUGAGUAUGUAAACAACGUGUAUCCAGUAAGUAUCUAGUCUAACCUCGAAGAAGUAGUGAUGAGGGAUCGACAUCAACACUUACUAGUGGGCAAUAUACAUAAUGUACAAGAAUGUUUAAUAGGUAUGAAAUACAACAUCAAUAAUGGAAUAAGAGACAAUAUGUAAGGCCCCGUAAAAUGUUUUCUAAAAACCAGGAUUUCGUGAUGCCAAAGUAGGCGUAGAGGUUAAUAAACAGUCCGCAGGGGAGUUGAAGGAAAAUGUUGGACAGAAUUAGGCAUUUCUGCGGCCUAUUAUGAGUCCGCAGAACCACUCUGCGGACCGCAGACUGGCCGCAGAGUGGGACAGGUUUUUGGGGCAUUUUUCAUAUCAAUUUUGCGGCCAUUAUGUGACCGCAUAACCAUUUCGCGGGCCGCACUUUGGUCUCAUAAUCAUCCUUAAACUUUUUUGGAGGGAGGUUCUGUGGUGCACUAUGCGACCGCAGAACUGUUCUGUGGUGCACUAUGCGACCGCGAAACAGGUCUGCGGGCCGCAUAGUGACUGCAGACCAAAUCAAUUUUUUUUUUCAUAUUUUGGCACCCCAAUUUCGUGGUCAUUUCGCAGAGCGCAUAACCAUUAUGCGGUCACAUAUGCGACCGCAGAACCCGUUCCGGAGCUUUAUUUUUGGGGUUUUUAAACCCGACCCUAUUCCGUUAAAACACCUACCUUAGAUCAUUUUGAUCAUAUUUUGUGAUAUUUUUAGAGUGAGAGAGAGGGUCCUAGAGGAAGGAAGUGAUCUUGAUCAAAUUGCUCUUCAAUUCUCACUUAAAACCUUGAAGAUUAUCAAGAGAGGCACCUAGGUCUUCUUCCUAAGAGGUAAGAUUCUAUCACCCAAACUCUUAAUUUCAAAAUGUAACUAGAAAGGGUCACUAGUAAGGUAAUUCAUGGGGAUGGGAGUGCUUACCUUGCAUGCAUGUAUCCUUGUAGUAUGUGGGAAGAUUGUGAGCUAAAAUGAUAGAGAACGGGUUGGGGAAUGAUGGAAACUUCCACAAAAGGGCCUUAAAACAUUGAUGCACACCCAGUGUUUGAUAAUAUGCUCAAAUGAGCUCAAACCAUGUUCAUCUUCCUAAUUUUGGUCCAACUUGUUAUAUUUCUAAAAUAGAUUGAAGGUUCUAAGAAUUCNNNNNNNNNNNNNNNNNNNNNNNNNNNNNNNNNNNNNNNNNNNNNNNNNNNNNNNNNNNNNNNNNNNNNNNNNNNNNNNNNNNNNNNNNNNNNNNNNNNNNNNNNNNNNNNNNNNNNNNNNNNNNNNNNNNNNNNNNNNNNNNNNNNNNNNNNNNNNNNNNNNNNNNNNNNNNNNNNNNNNNNNNNNNNNNNNNNNNNNNNNNNNNNNNNNNNNNNNNNNNNNNNNNNNNNNNNNNNNNNNNNNNNNNNNNNNNNNNNNNNNNNNNNNNNNNNNNNNNNNNNNNNNNNNNNNNNNNNNNNNNNNNNNNNNNNNNNNNNNNNNNNNNNNNNNNNNNNNNCCUAAUGUGGUUGUGUUGAAGGAUGUUUCUUCAAUGCUUAUUCUAAAUACUUCAUCAUGUCAUCUUGCCAUUUGAGAAUAUGUUCAAAAUUUGGAAUAUGUGUUAGGAAUGUUAAGACUUCAAGUCAAGAUCGAAAUAAAGGUUGUUAUGCCAAAUUGUAUGAAAAACCUCUAUGUUCCUAAGAUUCCCAAAUUGCUCAUAUGUGAAUCUAAUGUCUUGAAUGGGAAGUCUUAUUGUUGUGGAUAGUGAUGAUGAUAUUUGAAUGUGUAAUAAAGGGGGCUGGAACUAUGAAAUACGGCUAAGUGCCAAGAAUGACUUUGUAAUCAUAAUCACUUGUGCCAAUGAAUUGAAAGUAUAUGAAAGAAGUACGAUGUGAGAUGAUUGACUGAAAAAGGUAAUGUCUCUAAUGAGAUGGCCUAGCCGAUCGAACCAAGAUCGCACUCUGUGUAAGAACACGGUGGUAUUGUGGAUGAAAUUGUGAAAGUAGUUGAUGUCUCAAAUGAGAUGGCCUAGCCGAUCGGGCCGUGAUCGGACGCCAUGCCGCACACAAGGUAGUACUGUGCUGGAAAUUAUAACAAAAUUGUGGUAAUGUCUCAAAUGAGACGACCUAGCCGAUCGGAUCAAGAUCGGACUCCGUGUAAGAAUACGGAGGUAUUGUGAAUUGUGGAAUAUCAGUACUAAAGAUCACCCAACCUAAUAUUAUGGAAAUUGACUUGAAAACGUAUAUGAUCCUUAACUUGUUGUUCUAAUAUUAUUUGAAGCCCUUAUUGAAUUCUUGACUGUUCUUCUUGUAUUAUUAUUUAUUCUAUUGAGUUGGUGUUUAGCUUUACAUACUAGUGCUAUUCGACGGUACUAACGUCCCUUUUGCCGGGGGCGCUGCAUCUUUAAAUGGAUGCAGAUGGUUACAUAGCAGACAAUGCUGAUCACAGAUAGUGCUGUAUCCUCUUCUCAGUGGACUCGAUGAGCCCUAUUUUAUUCCGGGGUCACGUAUUGUACCUUUUGUUUAUAGGGUCACUUCUGAGGUAUAGCCGGGGCCAUGUUGCCGGCACCAUCUUUACUCUCUUUUCUAUCUUUAGAGGCUCCGUAGAUACUAUGUGGGUUGUAUAUGGGUGUUGGGAAUGUUAAACAAGUUAUGUUGUGUUUUAACACUUUUUCCACUCGAACUAUAAGAAAUGUGUAUUUUGAGACUAAAAGGCGCAAUGAAUAAUGAAACGAUUUAGGAUUGUAUGAAUGAGCUUCUUACUGUAUAAUUAAUGAAAUCACAUCUUUUCUUGAUCAUCGGUGAAUUGGGUAGAAAGUAUCUAACAUGCUUUCUCGGCCAGAUUCACUCGGUUGAGCGCCAGUCGUGUUUCCCGAGGUUGGGGCAUGACAAACUUGGUAUUAGAGCCUAAGGUUUUAAAGUGUCCUAGGAUGUCUCAGAGCCAUGUCUGGUAGCGUCCUUCUUAUCGGUGUGUUGUCGACCACAUCUAUAAGUUGGAGGCUAAUUGGACAUUUAGGAAUAAUACCCUUCUUUGAUAUUCUGGAUCGUGCGAUUAAACUAAUUGUGCAACUAUCCCUCCUCCAACUCGUGCAUUCCUUUAACUUUCAGUAUAUGGCACCAAAGAAAAUAGCAAGAACUGGCCAAGGAGCCAACGCUGCUUUAGGAGUGGUAGUUGACCCUUUAUUUGAUGAUACGAGUGAAUACCCGAGGGGUGAGGAUAAUCCCCCGACUGCUACACUACAUGAUUCCACUACACCGGACCAGGCCACACCAGUUCCUACAAUUACUGGGGGUGCGACGGUUCCUCCACCUGAUAUUCCGAUUCCACCUCUAGCCCCAGCUUCCGGUUUUGGUAUUUCUGAUGGGGAUAUUAGGGGAGCUAUUCAGAUGCUGACUCCGAUAGUGGCUUCUCAGGCCCAAAGGUCGAAUGUUGCACCCACAUCUUCUAGCCCACAACAGGAUUCUACUAGUUCUAGGGUGAACAUGUUUCUGCAGUUGGAUCCUCCGGUGUUCACGGGUGCUAAUCCCGAGGAGGACUCACAGGACUUCAUUGAUGAGAUGCAUAAGACUCUCCGGGUUAUGCGCGCUACUGAGACGGAAUUGGGCGCCUACCACCUGAAAGGGGUGGCAUAUUCUUUGUUUGAGCUGUGGGAGGACUCCCGGGAGAAGGGGGAGCCCUCCAGCGAGGUGAAGUGAGUUUGUUGAUGCCUUUAUAGAUCAUUUCUUGCCUGUCGAGACUAGGGCAGCCCGGGCCACAUAGUUUGAGAAUCUUAAGCAAGGGAGUAAGAGUGUGUGGGAUUAUCACAGGGAGUUCGCGCGUCUUUCCAAAUAUGCCAUUCUCAUGUUGCCUACUAUGGAGGCUAGAGUGUGCCAGUUUGUGCAGGGCCAUAGCCCCUUGGUUAUCAAUGAGGCCGCUACAAUUGCCUUGAAUUCAGACAUGAACUAUAGGAAGAUGGUAGCAUUUGAUCAAGCUACAGAGGACCGUAAGUUAAAGAACGGAAGAGAGCGAGAGGAUACUAGCAAGGCCCGGUCUGCGGGCAACUUUGGUGAGUCAUUUGGUGGGGGAAGCUCAGCUUUCAGGGGAGGGUCAUUAGGGCCAACUCAGUCUCAUGCUCAGUCUUCAGCCAGUGCACCGCCAGCAGGGCACAAUCAGCAGUAGGGGAGUCAGUUCAGGCCCAAUCAAGGCAGCAGGGGACCCCCACCAUCAGGGCAGAUCAAGAGGGAGAUUCCUAUAGCAGCGGAGACCCCCAUGCCUCAGGUGUGGGAAGAUGCACUCGGGGAUCUGCUACAUGGACUUAUAUAUAUGUUACGGGUGCGGAUUGAGGGGUCAUAUUCAGAGGGAGUGUCGUUCAUCCCGCCAGGGUGCGGGCAGGGGCACCGCACAGCCAUCCAGUUCUGCAGCUGCUACAUCUUCAGUGCCCCCCUCCAACUCUAGGCCCUCCGGCAUCAGCAGGGCAUGGUGCAGCUAGGGGUGGUGCGCAGGGUUUAGGAGGACCCCAGCCGUUUUCUAUGCUAUGAGUGGUCGCCAGAAUACAGAGGCUUUUCCAGAUGUUGUCACAGGUAUAUCGACUGUCCNNNNNNNNNNNNNNNNNNNNNNNNNCUUCAGUGCCCCCUCCAACUCUAGGCCCUCCGGCAUCAGCAGGGCAUGGUGCAGCUAGGGGUGGUGCGCAGGGUUUAGGAGGACCCAGCCGUUUCUAUGCUAUGAGUGGUCGCCAGAAUACAGAGGCUUUUCCAGAUGUUGUCACAGGUAUAUUGACUGUCCAAACUCAUGAUGUAUAUGCCCUUAUUGAUCCUGGUUCCACCUUUUCCUAUGUUACCCCUUAUGUUGCUAUGGAAUUUGGGAUAGAACCGGAAAAACUUCCUGAGCCGUUCUCUGUAUACUCGGGUUGGCGAGUCUAUUGUGGCCGCACAAGUUUAUAGGGAUUGUGUUGUCACGGUGCGUGGUCGGGACAUCAUGGCCGAUCUCAUUGAAUUGCGGAUGGUUGAUUUUGAUGUAAUUAUGGGAAUGGAUUGGCUUUAUUCAUGUUUUGCCAAGCUCGAUUGCUGAACUAGAACUGUGAGGUUUGAAUUUCCUAAUGAGCCAGUUGUUGAAUGGAAGGGGGAUAAUAUGGUGCCGAAGGGUAGGUUUAUUUCUUACCUUAAGGCCACGAAGAUGAUUAACAAGGGGUGUAUCUAUCACUUGGUCCGAGUUACAGACACCACUGCUGAGGCACCUACACUUGAAUCUGUGCCAGUUGUGAAUGAAUUUCCUGGGGUCUUCCCUGAUGAACUCCCUGGCAUUCCGUCAGAUAGGGAGAUUGAUUUUGGGAUUGAUAUGAUGCCAAGCACACAACCUAUAUCUAUUUUGCCCUACAGGAUGGCACCAACAGAAUUGAAGGAACUAAAGGAAUAAUUGAAGGAUUUGUUAGAGAAGGGUUUCAUCCGACCGAGUGUGUCACCAUGGGGCACACCAAUUCUCUUUGUGAGGAAAAAAGAUCGAUCACUGAGGAUGUGUAUUGACUACCGGCAGCUCAACAAAGUCACAGUAAAAAAUAAGUACCCAUUACCUAGAAUAGAUGAUUUGUUUGAUUAGUUACAGGGUCCUAAAUACUUCUCCAAAAUUGAUUUACGAUUUGGGUAUCACCUAUUGAAGAUCAAGGAGUAGGAUGUUUCGAAAACAGCUUUCAGAACCCGGUAUGGGCACUUUAAAUUUUUGGUAAUGUCUUUUGGGCUAACAAAUACCCCAGCGACUUUCAUGGAUCUUAUGAAUCGGGUUUUCAAGCCUUUUCUCGAUUCCUUUGUGGUAGUGUUCAUUGAUGAUAUUCUUGUGUAUUCACGAGGUCGGGAGGACCAUGCCGAUCAUCUUAGGGCAGUUUUACAGACUCUUCAUCAACACCAAUUGUAUACGAAGUUUUCAAAGUGUGAAUUUUGGCUCGAAUCUGUUACAUUCUUGGGUCUUGUUGUCUCUAGAGAAGGAAUCAAGGUUGAUCCUCAAAAGAUUUUAGCGGUAGAGAAUUGGCCUAGGCCUACAACACCCACCGAGAUUCGCAGUUUCUUGGGCUUAGCAGAGUAUUACAGGAAGUUUGUGAAGGGGUUCUAUAUUCUUGCCUCUCCGUUGACUAAAUUGACUCAGAAAGCGGUUAAGUUCCAAUGGUCCGAUGCUUGUGAAAGGAGCUUCCAGAAGUUGAAAUCAAGAUUGACUACAGUGCCAGUGUUGACCCUGCCAGAGGGUACGGAUGAAUUCAUGGUAUAUUGUGAUGCUUCAAGAAUUGGAUGCUUCUAGGCAACUCAAGAAUCAUGAAAAGAACCAUCCAACUCAUGACUUAGAACUUGCGGCAGUGGUUUUUGCAUUGAAAAUUUGGCGUCAUUAUUUGUAUGGGGUCCAUGUGGAUGUAUUCACAGGCCAUAAGAGUCUUCAAUAUAUUUUCAAACAAAAGGAGCUGAAUUUGAGGCAAAGAAGAUGGCUUGAGUUACUCAAGGAUUACGACAUCUAUAUUCUAUAUCAACCGGGGAAAGCCAAUGUUGUGGCAGAUGCUCUUAGCCGGAAAUCUAUGGGUAGUUUGGCUCACAUGGAGGCAUGUCAAAGGCUGUUGGCCAGGGAGAUUCAUCAGCUAGCCAGUUUUGGAGUUCGUCUUGCGGACUCUAGUGAAGGAAGGGGAAUUGUGCAAAAUAGGGCCGAAUCAUCGCUUGUUGUGGAAGUAAAAAAGAAGCAAUACAACGAUCCAUUUUUGGUGCAGCUGAAGGAUGGGAUUCAUAAACAUAAAACUAUGGCUUUUACUCUUGGCAUGGAUGAUGGUACACUAAGGUACCAAGGGCGACUAUGUGUUCCGAAUGUAGAUGAUCUCGGGGAAAGAAUCAUGACCGAGGCUCACGCUUCUAGGUAUUCCAUGCAUCCAGGUUCUACAAAGAUGUAUCACGACCUCAAGGAAAUCUAUUGGUGGAAUGACAUGAAAAGGAAUAUGGCUUACUUUGUGGCAAGAUGUCCGAACUGUCAACAAGUGAAGGCCGAACAUCAACGGCCUGGUAGGUUGGCACAGAACAUAGAAAUUCCAAUAUGGAAGUGGGAGAUGAUUAAUAUGGAUUUUGUGGUAGGAUUACCACGCACUCCGUGCAUGUUUGACUCAAUUUGGGUGAUCGUGGACCGACUCACGAAAUAAGUACACUUCUUUCCUAUUAAAUCUACCGACACAGCGGAACAAUAUGCUUAGUUGUAUAUCAAGGAAAUUGUCAGGCUACAUGGUACUCCAGUUUCUAUCAUUUCCGAUCGAGGGGGUCAGUUCACGGCCAAAUUUUGGAAGAAGUUUCAGCAAGGUUUGGGUAAUCAGGUGAAUCUUAGUACAACCUUCCAUCCACAGACCGAUGGGCAAGCAGAGUGGACUAUUCAGACGCUUGAGGACAUGUUGCGUACUUGUGUUCUUGACUUCAAGGGUUGCUGGGAUGAUCAUUUGCCACUCAUAGAGUUUGCUUAUAAUAACAACUUUCAUGCAAGUAUUCAGAUGGCACCAUUUGAGGCAUUGUAUGGUAGGAGAUGUAGAUCUCCCAUUGGGUGGUUUGAGAUUGAGGAAGCAGAGUUAAUAGGGCUAGACCUUAUACAUCAAGCUAUGGAAAAAGUUAAGAUCAUAAAGGAGCGGUUGAAAACUGCUCAGAGUCAUCAAAAAUCCUAUUCGGAUGUCCGUCGCAGAGACCUAGAGUUCAAAGAAGAUGAUUGGGUAUUCUUGAAGGUUUCCCCCAUGAAGGGUAUUAUGCGGUUUGGGAAAAAGGGGAAAUUGAGUCCGAGGUAUGUCGGGCCGUACAAAAUCAUCCAGAGGAUCGGUGAGGUGGUGUUCAAGCUUGAGCUACCACCCGAGAUGUUAUUAGUGCACCCGGUAUUCCAUGUGUCUAUGUUGAAGAAGGUAGUUGGAGAUUCGUCAGCUAUUGUGCCAGUUGAGACCAUUGAGGUUAAUGAAGAAUUGUCAUAUGAAGAAAUUCCGGUUGCCAUUCUUGAUAGUCAAGUUUGAAAGUUGAGGAAUAAAGAAAUUGCUUCCGUGAAAGUGUUAUGGCGAAACCAGCAGGUUGAAGAGGCCACAUGGGAGGCCGAGGAAGAAAUGAAGAAGAAGUAUCCUUACUUGUUUGAAUAGCUGUGUAAUCCUUUCUUUUUUAUGAACUUAUCGCCUAUAAAUUUUGUACCACUUGUUCAGUUAAUGUAAAGGUGUUCCUUUUGAUUAUAUGUUGUUUAUGAGGCCACGAUUGGUACUGUUAUGAGUUUGUUGCAUUGUUGGGUUAUGCAUAUGUUUGCAAGAUGUGUUUCUGGGUCUCUCUGACAGGUGGAUAGGCCUAGUUACAACGGAAACUCUGGCGAAAAUUUUGGAAAUUUAGGGAGUUAGUUAAAUUUGGGGUUGCUAGUGUAGGGUAUGAAAACUGAGUUACACAAGGUGCUAAUAAUGGACACUGAUCCUCAUUCAAACAUGUUGGGAAGAAAUAGGCAUUUCUGCGGCCCAUUAUACGGCCGCAGAACCACUCUGCGGACCGCAGACUGGUCGCAGAGUGGGACAGUUUUCUAGGGCAUUUUUGAUGUCAAUUUCGCGGCCGAUAUGCGACCGCAUAACCAUUUCACGGGACGCACUUUGGUCUCAUAAUCAUCCUUAGACUUUUUUGGAGGGAGGUUCUGCGGUGCAUUAUACGACCGCAGAACCGUUCUGCAGUGCAUUAUGCGACCGCGAAAUAAGUCUGCGGGCCGCAUAGCGACCGCAGACCAGAUAAGUUUUUUUUUCAUAUUUUGGCACCCCAAUUUCGUGGUCAUUUUGCGGACCGCAUAACCAUUAUGCGGUCGCAUAUGCGACCGUAGAACCCAUUCCAGAGCUUUAUUUUUGGGGUUUUUUAACCCGACCCUAUUCCGUUAAAACACCUACCUUGGACCAUUUUGAUCAUAUUUUGUGAUAUUUUUAGAGUGAGAGAGAGGGUCCUAGAAGGAGGAAGUGAUCUUCAUCAAAUUGCUCUUCAAUUCUCACUUAAAACCUUGAAGAUUAUCAAGAGAGGAACCUAGGUCUUCUUCCUAAGAGGUAAGAUUCUAUCACCCAAACUCUUAAUUUCAAAAUGUAACUAGAAAGGGUCAUUAGUAAGGUAAUUCAUGGGGAUGGGAGUGCUUACCUUGUAUGCAGGUAUCCUUGUAGUAUGUGGGAAUAUUAUGAGCUAAAAAUGAUAGAGAAUGGGUUGGGGAAUGAUGGAAUCUUCCACAAAAAGGGUCUUAAAACAUUGAUGCACACCUAGUGUUUGAUAAUAUGAUCAAAUGAGCUAAAACCAUGUUCAUCUUCCUAAUUUUGGUCCAACUUAUUAUAUUUCUAAAAUAGAUUGAAGUUGCUAAGAAUUUCGGGUCAUUUUAGAGUUUGAGAAGCUCAAUUGAGGUAUAUUGGCUAACUUCUUCUUAGAAUCGAAUCCCAUGGUGUUCAUGUAAUUGGAGUAAGUUCUUGAUCAUUAUUGAAUUGGCUAUUCCUAAUGUGGUUGUGUUGAAGGAUGUUUCUUCAAUGCUUAUUCUAAAUGCUUUAUCAUGUCAUCUUGCCAUUUGAGAAUAUGUUAAAAAUGUGGAAUAUGUGUUAGGAAUGUUUAGACUUCAUGUCAAGAUCGAAAUAAAGGUUGUUAUGCCAAAUUGUAUGAAAAGCCUCUAUGUGCCUAAGAUUCCCAAAUUGCUCAUAUGUGAAUCUAAUGUCUUGAAUGAGAAGCCUUAUUGUUGUGGAUAAUGAUAAUGAUAUUUAAAUGUGGAAAAAAGGGGACUGGAACUAUGAAAUACGACCCAAUGCCAAGAAUGACUUUGUAAUCGUAAUCACUAGUGCCAAUGAAUUUAAAGUAUAUGAAAGAAGUACGAUGUGAGAUGAUUGACUGAAAAAGUUAAUGUCUCAAAUGAGAUGGCCUAGCCGAUCGGGAUGAUAUCGGACUCCGUAUAAGAACACGAUGGUAUUAUGGAUGAUAUUGUGCAAAUGAUUGAUGUCUCAAAUGAGAUGGCCUAGCCGAUCGGGCCGUGAUCGGAUGCCAUGCCGCACAUAUGGUGGUACUGUGCUAGAAAUUAUAACGAAAUUGUGGUAAUGUAUCAAAUGAGAUGACCUAGCCAAUCGGGUCGAGAUCGGACUCCGUGUAAGAAUAUGGAGGUAAUGUGAAUUGUGGAAUAUCGGUACUAAAGAUCACCCAACCUAAUAAUACUAAAAUUGACUUGAAAACGUAUAUGAUCCUUAACUUGUUCUAAUAUUAUUUGAAGCCCUUAUUUAAUUCUUGACUGUUCCUCUUCUAUUAUUAUUCAUUCUUUUGAGUUAGUGUUUAGCUUUACAUACUAGUGCUAUUCAACAAUAUUAACGUCCCUUUUGCCGGAGGCGCUGCAUCUUUAAAUGGAUGCAGGUGGUUACAUAGCAGACAGUGUUGAUCACAGAUAGUGCUGCAUCCUCUUCUCAGCGGACUCGGUGAGCCCCAUUUCAUUAUGGGGUCAUGUAUUGUACCUUUUGUUUAUAUUGUGGUCACUUAUGAGGUAUAGCCGGGGCCUUGUUGCCGGCACCAUCUUUACUCUCUUUUGUACUAAGAUUCACUUGAGUACCCAAACCUUGCUGAAAUUACUACCAAAAGUUAGCGGUGAACUGCACCCCUCAAUCUGAGAUGAUGGAAACUGGAGUGCCAUGCAAUCUAACUAUUUCCUUGAUAUACAACUGAGCGUAGUGUUCUGCUAUGUCGCUGGCCUUAACAGGCAAGAAGUGUGGUGACUUUGUGAGUCGAUCCACAAUCACCUAAAUCGAGUCAAAAUUAUGAGGCGUGGGAGGUAGACCUACUAUAAAGUCCGUAUUGAUCAUCUUCCACUUAUACAUUGGAAUUUCUAUAUUAUGUGCCAAACCACCAGGCCUCUAGUGCUCGGCCUUCACUUGCUAACAACUUGGGCAUCUAGAAACAAAGUGUGCUCUUCAUGUCAUUCCACCAGUAGACUUCUUUGAGAUCAUGGUAUAUCUUUGUAUAGCCUGGGAGCACGGAAUACAUAGAACAGUGAGCCUCGAUCAAGACCCUUUCUCGGAGACCAUCCACAUUCGGAACACACAAUUACCAUUGGUACCUUAGUAUACCAUCAUUCGUGCUAAGAGAAAAAGACAUGGUCUUGUGUUUAUGAAUUCCCUCCUUCAAUUGCACCAAAACGGACCAUCAUAUUGUUUCUUCUUGGCUUUCACAACGGCUGAUGACUCGGCCCAAUUUUGUACACUCAUGCCACCUUCGCUAGAGUCUGCAAACCGAACUCUCAAACUAGCCAACCAAUGAACUUCGUUUGCCAUCGGCCUUUGGUGUGCCUCCAAGUGUGCCAGACUACCCAUGUAUUUUCGGCUAAGAGCAUCCGCCACAACAUUGGCUUUCUAGAUGAUAGAAAAUGUCGAUGUCAUAGUCCUUGAGUAACUCAAGCCAUAUCCUUUGGCUUAGUUUCAACUCCUUUUGCUUGAAGAUGUAUUUAAGACUCUUACGGUCCGUGAAUAUGUCCACAUGGACCCCAUACAAAUAGUGACGCCAAAUUUUCAAUGCAAACACCACCGCUGCAAGCUCUAAGUCAUGUGUUGGACAAUUAUUCUCAUUUAUCUUGAGUUUCCUAGAGGCAUAAGUGAUCACCUUGCUAUGUUGCAUUAAUACACGACCAACUCCGACCCUUGAAGCAUCACAAUAUAUCACAAAUCUAUUUGUACCUUCCGGUAAAGUCAAUACCGGUGUCGUGGUCAACUUUGACUUCAACUAUUGAGAGCUCCUUUCACAAGCAUCAUACCACUUGAAUUUAGCUGCAUUUUGUGUCAAUUUAGUCAAUGGAGGGGCAAGAGAAAAGGACCCCUCCACAAACCUCCUAUAAUAACCAACUAGGCCCAAGAAACUACGAUCUACCGGAGUUGUAGGUCUAGGCCAAUUCUUCACAUCUACAAUCUUCUGAGGAUCAACCUUGAUUCCCUCACUAGAGACAACAUGACCCAAGAAAGAGAUAGACUCAAGCAAAAAAUCACAUUUCCAAAACUUUACAUACAACUUGUGCUAACAUAGAGUUUUCAAACCUACCCUGAGAUGAUCGGCAUAGUCCUUUCGACUUCGUGAAUACAACAGGAUGUCAUCAAUGAACACUAUCACAAAAGAGUCUAGGAAAGGCUUGAAGACUCGAUUCAUAAGAUUCAUGAAAGCUGCAGGAGCAUUCGUUAGCCUAAAAGACAUCACCAUAAAUUCAAAGUGCCCACACCGGGUCCCAAAAUCUGUUUUCGGAAUAUCCUGCUCCCUGAUCUUUAAUUGGUGAUACCCUGAUCUUAAAUCAAUCUUGGAGAAGUACUAAGCACCUUGAAAUUUAUUGAACAAGUCAUCUAUCAUUGGCAGUGGGUACUUAUUCUUGAUUGUGAUCUUGUUGAGCUGCCGAUAGUCGAUACACAUCCUAAAUGAAACUCUUCUCUAGCACAUCCUUCAACUGCUCCUUCAGUUCUGCGGAGCCAUUAUGUAUGGUGGAAUUUAUAUAGGUUGUGUGCCCGGAAACAUAUCGAUCCCAAAGUUAAUCCUCAUGUCUGGUGGGAUUCCAGGAAGCACAUCAGGAAAGACCUCUCAAAAUUCAUUCACUACCGGCGCGUACUCAAGCGUCGGUACCUCAGCCUCGGUAGAUACAUCCCUUACUGAGGAACCACUUGCAUCCAUUAAUGAUGCAGUGCCCCGUGCAAAGGGACGUAUUGAAUAGUACUAAUAUGUAAAGCUAAGUACCCUCACAUGGAAUGGAAUGCCAACGCAUGAAGAAAGAAACAUGAAAGCAGUAGGAAUAAUCAAUGAUAUUUAAAUACCAAGUUAAAUGAAAUAAAAUUUCAAAUAAGCAUUAACAAUUUUGGUUGGGAGAUCAUUAGUUAACUACACACCACCAUGCACGUGGCAUGGAGUCCCAUCUCGGCCCGACCGACUAGGCCGUCUCACCCUAACCAAUCAAUCUCAUCAAUUAAACCAUUUUACAAUAUCUAUAAUACCAACACAACCUAUGGAACUUAUGGCUUCCAAUCACCACCCUGUAAGUCCUAACACAUAUUUCCUGAAUAAAUAAUCACAAUAAAUGAUUUAGAGAUGGUAGACAUACCUCUUGUAGUGAAACUCUUGAAAAUCCCAACUUGUGGUGUUCUUGACCAAUUUGGCAAUUUGAAUAAAAAUUAUUAAUUUUCAAGAUUAAUCCUUGUCAAUAUAGUGGUUUAGGAGUAGUAAUUAACUCAAAAUACUCCAAAAAUAUUACCUUGGUUCAUAGGAGGUGUAUAGUACGGAUUCCCCUUGUCAGAUCAAGCCCUAGCUCAAAGAAAUGAGUUAGCCACUCUCUCUCCCAAACCUUGGGGCUAUUUAUAGGGUUCCUAUGUGCGCUGCCGCACACCUGGGCAAGUGAACAUGCAGCUCGGAGUGCAUACAAGGCAGAAAACCCUUCUUCUAUGCGCUGUCGUGCACAUGACAGUCUCAGCAUGCAGACGGGACAGUGGCCAUUACUUUCUGUAGAAAUAUCCAAAUGACAAAUGGUUUGACGCAUUGGAAACUAGACUCAAAGACAUUUCAUUUGAUAGGUAUAUCGCCACCGAAAUCCUUUUAUUUUGGGAGUUGUGCUCGUUUAACGUCGGGUCUUGUGCGAAUUCAUUUUAAACUUUAGCCCAUUGCAUAGUUCCGAACUUGUCUUAGUUCUAGGCUCUCUUUAGACUCCAAACCACUUCCAAUACACCUCCUACAUUUAAUAUCAUGAUCAUCUAAGUUGGUUCUACUCCAUAAUCUCUUCGUGGUGAACUACUUUACUUUAUCCGAUCCACAGCACAUGGAGUCCCCCUUCCCUACUCAUUUAUAUUUGUCUAUAUAUUUUCAUUUUUCGAUAGAUGUUAUUGUUUAGUUGAGACUAUAUACUCUUGUUAGAUGUUCAUGAUGAUGAUGUUGUGAAACCAGGCCUUGUGAGAGUUUCUACGACAACUGUGGUCGCAUUUAGACCAUGUCUUUGAUAUGUAUUCAUGAUGUUAUUUUAAGAUUUGUUUAGCUUUGUUAUUUAUAUCAUAAUUCACUUAAUGGCUUAAUAAUUGGAUUCGAUUGUUGUUUAUAAGUGUUGGCUAGCCUACCGAGCAGGUUAGGGGCCAUCAUGACCAUUGCUGGAAUUUUGGAUCGUGACAUCUUUAUAUUGUUCAAAUUUACAUAUGCACUUAUCAUCAACUAUUAAUGUCGUUCAAGGUGCCUUCUUCAUUUGAAGACGUUCUUUAAAACUCUAGACAUGUCAUCUGCUAACUCGUGCGACAUGAUAAUGAAUACGACAUUUCAUAUUAAAUGUCCAUCAAAUUCUUAUUAUUAGAACAUUCUCACAAUCAUACAUUCACUUUUCCAACCAUGCACUAUUUUAUUUUAGCCGCACUAAUACUCAUCAUAGGCUUGUCUGACUCAUAUUCUUUCAAUUAGGGCCAUAUCAGCUUUCAAUACCCUAUUAUUAAAAAAAUAUUGAGAUACAAACUUCUUUAUUCGACUCAAAAUUAUCUUAUUCCCUCAGCUUAACUUUACAUAUCCAUACACUACUCGUCCUUCACCAUUAGUGGUCAUAACAACGACUGAUCGUCCCCUGCCUUGAGUAACGUUAAACAUAUCCCCAGGCCAUGUCUUCCUAAGAUGCCCUUAUUUGUUUUCCAUAGCAUAAAUUUCCUGUGAUUCUCGAUGUCAUUACGGCAACAUUAAAAGAUAUUCAAAUCUUAUUCCUUUAGACAUAUCAUAAGCCCUUAGCUAUCUAUUCCAAUCCACUACUUCCCGCUCGGGUUGUACCCAUUUCAAUUCGUUCCCAUCCUUCGCCUUUAUUUUCAUAUCAAGGGCCACUGAACCUUCUUCUCUACUACUUUACCAACUAGUGUCAUAGCUCAAAUAUCAAGCCUUAUGUUCAUCACUCUUCUUUUGCUAAUCUCGUCGGAAAUUCGAUACGGAUUGGAAUUUCACUUCUAGAAUCAAGAUUUAACACAUGAUCUAGAUGAACGGAAAGAAAUCAGAUAAUCUUACAGUAUCCAUGUAGUUUUCCCAAUAUAAGUACGGCGCACAAUACACCAAUAAGAAUAACUAUACUAGCCAGGAUUCCAUAGAUAUCCUAGGACUCAAAUUAGAACCUAGUACUCUGAUACCAAGUUUGUCACAUUCAAAAUCAUGUGAUUGACACCGACACACUACCCAACCCGGGUGGACCGACACAUACAAGAAUACCAAUCUAUAUGCCUAAUAGAUGCAUGUAGUAACCCUUUAGAAAUACAAUCACUUUUAAUGAUUAAAGUCAUGCAUGAAACAUUAUCUUUAAAUCAACCUUUUUGUAAUGAUAAUUUUGUGUAUUGUAGCCCGUCGCCCCAUUUAUUGCUUUUUAUCUGUUCAUUUGUGGCUAUGUGACUUUUUGGGGUGGUUGUAUUGGUUUUGGGGAAGUUUUAGAGUGAAUUGGGGUACUUAGUCCAAAGGUUGGAAGCUUAAGUUGAAAGAGUUGAUAAGAGUUUGACUUUUAUGUAGAUGACACCGGAAUGGAGUUUUGUUUGUUCUAAUAGCUUCGUAUGGUAAUUUUGGACUUAUGCGUAUGUUCAGAUAUUGAUUUGGAGGUCUGUAGGUUGGUUUAAGGUGUUUUGGCGAAAGUUGAAAAGUUGAAGGUUUGGUAGUUUGAGAGGUUUCACUGAGUUGGAAAAGGUCCGUUGUGUCAUUUGGGACUAGUGUGCAAAAUUUGAGGUCAUUCAGAGUUGAUUUGAUAUGGUUCGGCAUUGGUUUUCGAAGUUGGAAGUUCAUUAGUUUCAUUAGGCUUGAAUUGGGGCCUCGGGUAUGAUUCAGAUGGUUCGCGGAACAUGGUUGCACUGCGUGAGAUGGUUGUUGGCUUCAAUUCUGAUGCAAUCGCACUUGCGAGGGAAUUUCCGCAGGUGCGACGCUGUAGAAGCUGCCCUAAGAUCGCAGGUGCGUGUUUGGAUGGGCUGGUGAUGGGUCGCAUGUGUGAGGGAUUUGUCGCUUCUGUGAGCUGCAGAUGAGUUGAUGUUCCGCAGAAGCGGAUUUUAGCUGGGCAAGGUAGUGGUUGCAGAUGCGGUGGGAGAGCCGCAUUUGCGGAAGAGCAUGUGCAAAGGUUGUCCGUAGAAGUGGACUCGCGAAUGCAGAGAAAGGUCUGCAGAUGCGAAAGGGCGGAGGCUUCAGGGGAUAUCACAGAAGCAUGUUUUGGCCGCACCUGCGGGACCGCAGAUACGGGUAAGUGACCGCAUGUGUGAGAAUCGCUGAGUAGACCCUUUUUAAGUCCCAUUUCGAGGGUUAGAGUUAUUAUAUCAUAUUUUGAGUUGUAGAGCUCGGUUUUGGGCGAUUUUGGAGGGGAUUUUCACGAUUUCGAUCCGGGUAUGUAUUUUUAACUCAGAUUUGUUCAUUAUUCAUGAUUCCAUCAUAGUUUUUAUCAUUUAUUUGGGAAUUUGAAGUAGAGAAAUUGAAGAUUUUGUAUAAGCUUUUCAAAAAUGAAAAUUGAGGAUUUGAAGGUCGAUUUGGAGUCGGAAUUGGUUGAUUUUGGAAUGGUUGGAUUCGUAUCGGAAUGGGUGUUUGGAAUUUGUGAGUUUGACAGGGUUCCGGGGUACGAGCCGGGGGUUGACGUUUUGGGUUGAAUUUUUGAUUUUGAUAAAGAUCAAAACUUUAUUGUUUGAGUAGUUUCAUAUGUCAUUAUUUGUUGAUAUUAAUUUGUUUGUGACUAGAUUCGAGUUGUUGGAGUAUUGAGUUGCACAUUUUGAGGUAAGUAACAUUUCUAAACUUUGAAUUGAGGGCAUUUAUCCCUGGAAAACGUGUUAAUUGUGUUGUGUUGGGGUGACGUAAAUGCUAGGUGACGGGCGUGUGGGUGUGCACCGUGGCGGCAAUCAUGAUCCGGAUUAAUGUUUUUUACUAUGUUGCUAUCAAGUCUUGUUUUAUCCGUGUGAUCCCUACUUGUUAGAGUAAUUGAGUUGUGAUUCAUGUUAGAAAUCAUGUUUAGGCUACGUGCUUAUUCGGUUGAGACCUAAUGAGGUUAUUUCUGUUGUUUUGAGUUUCCUGCUUUAACUAUAAUUAUAUAUUCAGUCAUAGUUCUUCAUUUGCAUAUCAUAUCUCAGUCUCUGUUCAUCAUUAACUGUUACAUCACAUAUUAUCAUUGUUUGGGAUAAGUGGUACGAGAUUGAGAUCCCUUGAGACUUGAGAGAUGGAUGAUUGAGGUGGGCCUGAGAACCGUGUUAUGAGAGUUAUUGUGGAUUGGGCUGCACGCCGCAGCAGGCCAUAUUGGCUUUACUAUUAUUAUUAUUAUUAUUAUUAGUAUUAUUAUUAUGUGGAUCGGGCCGCACGCCGCAGCAGACCUUAUAGGCUAUGAUUAGCACUUGGGAAGGAUUCACCCCUCCAGAGUCUGACAUACCAGCAGUGAGUGCAGGCACAUUAAUAUUUAUACACGUGCUUUGGUGAGGGGCAUUGAUGUCAGGCACUCGUACAGUGCUGAGUGAUUGUGUGUGUGAUGAGUGGGCAUUUGAGAAAGACAAAUUGAGUAUUUUGAGAGUGUGAGUACUUGGGAAUAUCACCUUGAAAUCAUACAUUUGACAUGUAUAUUUGACAUGUAGGCAUAUAGAUAUACCAUUCCCCAUGCUAGCUAUACUUGACAUGUUCCUAUCAGUGUUGGGCUUUAAUUAUUCAACUUGAAAACAUGUCUCAAUUUAUGUACCAUGAACGAGCUGAUUAUGAAAACUCCUCUGAGUUAUUUAUUGUUAUUUUCAUUAUUAUACUAGUUCUGUCAUUAUAUUGCAUUCUGACUGUCUUCUUAUGAGCUCGUCACAACUUUUAGCCCAAGGUUAGUUUUGUUUUUUAUUGAGUACAUAGGAUCGGUUGUACUCAUACUACACUCUAUACUUCGUGUGCAGAUCUGGGUGCAUCUGGACGUGG
rnacentral:lncRNA from 1 species